rnacentral:misc_RNA from 1 species
GGGGCCAGAGGGCCAAAUUUAUACCUCCCUCAUUUUAGACAAACAAAUCGAAAUUAAUUCCAUUGUGAACUGAAUAUGUGUGGUAUGCAUUGUCAGUAAUAGAUACGGUAUUGUGAAAGUGGCAUCUGUUUUAUGGUACAGUUUACUUUUCCUGUAGUAAUAAAUCAAUACUGUCUUCAGUCAUUUAGCUAAAGGAAAUUAACAUGCAUUUAAAGUGUUCAAUUACAGUCAUAGUACGCUGCAACAUACAUUUAAUUGUAUUGGUCAGGAUCAAAAAGUCACUUACCGGUAUUGUAAAUCAUUGUCUAAUGUCUCAUCUCUUGCUCUUGGUAUCUGUCAAGUCUUCUCAUCUUUCUAAGUAAGCUUUGAGGGAUUACCAUUGUCCAUGGGUAGUGAGAUUAGUACUCUUAAGCUGCUGCUAUACUCCAAACAUAAUGGGAUGUAUUGUGUAAUUGUGCAACUUUGAAUAAGUGCAAAAUUGGUGGAAGUAUACGUUAAGAUUAUUUAUUAUGUCAUACACAACACAGAUUUGUGUAUUGCAAUAUGCGUAUUAAACUUAAUAUAAUUGUG